GGACUACACGGGUAUCUAAUCCCGUUCGCUCCCCUAGCUUUCGUGUCUGAGCGUCAGGAUCAUCCCAGAAGGCCGCCUUCGCCACUGGUGUUCCUCCGGAUAUCUACGCAUUUCACCACUACACCCGGAAUUCCACCUUCCUCUGAUGACCUCUAGUUCGGUAGUUUUGAACGACCCCUCCCAGUUGAGCCGGGAGAUUUCACAUCCAACUUGCCGAACCGCCUGCACACGCUUUACGCCCAGUAAAUCCGGAUAACGCUCGUCUCCUACGUUUUACCGCGGCUGCUGGCAC
rnacentral:rRNA from 1 species